GAAACUUUUGCCAAGAGAGAUGGUUGACAUCUCCCCUAUCAGGGAUGGGAACAAGUCUUGGGUUUUCCUGUUACACACAUUCGAUUAAGGCUUUCCCCUUGUGGGAUCUAUAACCCAAGCUACUU